rnacentral:rRNA from 1 species
ACUCCUGCGGGAGGCAGCAGUGGGGAAUAUUGGACAAUGGGCGCAAACCUGAUCCAGCCAUGCCGCGUGAGUGAUGAAGGCCCUAGGGUUGUAAAGCUCUUUCACCGGUGAAGAUAAUGACGGUAACCGGAGAAGAAGCCCCGGCUAACUUCGUGCCAGCAGCCGCGGUAAUACGAAGGGGGCUAGCGUUGUUCGGAUUUACUGGGCGUAAAGCGCACGUAGGCGGACUAUUAAGUCAGGGGUGAAAUCCCGGGGCUCAACCCCGGAACUGCCUUUGAUACUGGUAGUCUUGAGUUCGAGAGAGGUGAGUGGAAUUCCGAGUGUAGAGGUGAAAUUCGUAGAUAUUCGGAGGAACACCAGUGGCGAAGGCGGCUCACUGGCUCGAUACUGACGCUGAGGUGCGAAAGCGUGGGGAGCAAACAGGAUUAGAUACCCCUGUAGUCCCA